ACCAUAGUCUAACAAAGUAAACAUGAGCUAAACCACAUAAAAGCUAAGUGCAAUUUUUUGAACCAGGGUAGCUGUGGUCCCAAGUUCGAAUUCUAGUUGAUUUAUAUUUUCAGUUAAGUUUAUUUCUAAAUGAAAUAAACGAAACGGAUAACGUGCUACCUAUCUCUCUCUCAAAAAAAAAAAACUUUUUGAACCAAGAUAGGACAUAAUAGAAAUGCACAGUACCAUAGGGGAGCAAAUUCAAAGAGCGAUGUUACAUGCACAAUCUCAAAUUAGGUAUAAAUUUUAAAGUUAAAGUACCAUUGACCGACUCAAUUCAAACAAAUUGAAAUACUAAAUGAUAAAAUUAAAUUUUUUUUUAAAUUAAAUAAAAUUAUUUAAAAUAAUUCAUAGCUCAAAUAAGUUCUGUUCGUUCUACGUAUAGAAUCCUACGU
rnacentral:lncRNA from 1 species